rnacentral:tRNA from 2 species
GCACCCGUAGCUCAGUUGGAUAGAGCGCUGCCCUCCGAAGGCAGAGGCCAGAGGUUCGAAUCCUCUCGGGUGCGCCA